CAGGUACCGGUUCACGCUCGAUUACCAGGGAAAACCUGGUGGGCGACCCGGCGACC
rfam:Mycobacterium rhodesiae JS60 ctg128, whole genome shotgun sequence.